rnacentral:rRNA from 1 species
UACGUAGGGUGCAAGCGUUAAUCGGAAUUACUGGGCGUAAAGCGUGCGCAGGCGGCUUUGCAAGACAGAUGUGAAAUCCCCGGGCUCAACCUGGGAACUGCAUUUGUGACUGCAUGGCUGGAGUGCGGCAGAGGGGGAUGGAAUUCCGCGUGUAGCAGUGAAAUGCGUAGAUAUGCGGAGGGACACCGAUGGCGAAGGCAAUCCCCUGGGCCUGCACUGACGCUCAUGCACGAAAGCGUGGGGAGCAAACAGG